CAAACAGCCACCCCCAAAACUAAAGAGAGAGGUGAAUACAGAGAAUCCCAGCUUAGGAGCAGAAGCCAUUGCCAGAGCCAGCAACUGGCCUCCUCUGAUGCCACCCCAGAAGUUAAGUGGAAAGUUGCCCCAUUAUCUACUGAGUCAGAGAAGAAAUCCAGACUCCCCAAGGGGUCUCCACUGAUACCACAGGGGUCAGAGGUGAGUCUCUGCUCUUUAUUCAGCCUUCUCUGACACCACCCUGGUGGAGGGGUGCUUUGGGACACUUCUUUACAGCUUGGUAACAGUAGACAUCUAGGCUCUCUACUCAGUCUUCGCUGGUGGAGUUGGGAUAGGGCCAUAGUUUUUUCUAUGGUGUUUGCCUAGAAUGCAGAAGCUAUUGUCUAAAAUUUUCUGUCUUGUUGAGUUGCCCAUUUCCUGGUCUUUUGGCCAGAAAAACUAGUUUCUUGGUGGGGCUCUUUUGUCUGAACCCACUGGUGUUUCCAAGUUGCUCACUUCUUCAGCUCCAAGUUUAGGAAUCCGAGACAAAAAACAAAACUUAGGGAACUCACUACCAUGCUAUUACUUUGAUCCCAAGGUCCCUAGCUAGCCUUCCUUCUUCUCUCCACCUAUUCAAGUCUUAUGUUUGUUUUAUAUAUAAUGUCCAUGGAUUUUAGUUGUACUUAGGAAGAAUAAGAAAAAGUAUCUCUUCCCAUAAGUAGAAGUCCCCCAUAUGGGAAAUUUUUUCAUCAGUCCUCUGCUUAAAAGCCACAGCCUCUGCACCAACCCUACACUUGCUCAAUCCUGAAAAUGAGUGUUUCCUUAAAUUUUGUACCCCGGGCCCUUCGCAUGUGUUAUCCAGCCCAUAUCUCAACAUAACAUCUUUCCAGCCUCAUCUCCCUCUCCAUUACCCCACAUCCCAUACAUUUUCAUGCCUGUGACCUGGUUAGAUGGCCCUCCCUGUCCCUCGCCUCCUCUAUCUGCUGCAACACCAAUCCUGCAAGACUUCAAUAAAAUGCCAUGUCCUUAUAAAACCUUCACUGAUUUCCGCCUCUCUCCCUCCCGUGUUAAUUGCUCCUCUCCCUAUGUAUCCAUGCCCUUUGUUUGUGCCUAUAUGGAAAUUUGAAUUGUUGACUAGGUGUAGUGGUUCAUGCCUGUAAUCCCAGCACUUUGGAAGGGUAGGGCAAGAGGAUUGGAUUGAGCCCAGGAGUUUGAGAUCAGCCUUGGCAACAUGGUGAGACCCCAUCUCUACAAAAAAUUUUAAAAAUGAAAGUGAAAAUAAAUUAGCCAGAUGUGGUAGCAGAUGUCUGUAGUCCCUACUUGGGUUCAGAGGGAUAUAACCCUAAAUAAGCUUAGUCAUCAUUAAGGAGCUAGGCCCUGUGGACCCUCCCCAUGGGGGUGACUACUUCAUCUCUCGGUUUCCCUCUAUUUCUGUGGUUACUUGAUUGCUGUUGGAUAGUCUGUGGGCUUGUGCAUUUAAAGUUUGCUUUUUCAAGGUGUCUGUGAGCUCUGUGGGGGCAGGAGCUCUGCAACCCUAGGUAUCAGAGAACCUAGAACCUAUCAGGUGCUGGCACAUGUUAUGAUCAAUGACUGAAAUCUGAAUUUUGUCAGUCUGGUACUCACUUUCUCUGACUGAGCCUCUACAUUUAGACAGUGCAGUGACUCAGACACAGCAGUUAAACCCUGACCAAUAUUAUUUCAUUUAUUAAAAAGAAUGCAUACUUUCUACACUGCUUGUAAGUCACCAACAUUUAACUACUUCCAAUGUGUUUUAGUAAUAUCUUUCUGAGUUGUAAUGAAGGCAACCAGGAGGCAAUAACUAAAACCUCUGUUUGAAAGAUGAGGAAACUAAAGCUCAGAGAGUGGAAGUGACUCCCUUGGGUCACACAGCAAGUCACUGGCAGCAAAGAAACUAGGACCUAGUUCUAUAAUCCUUCCCUCCAUCUCCUGCUUCCCAAGUCCAAUGCUCUUCCACCCCCAGCCUUCCUGAACCUUCUGAAAUGAUGUGUUGUUCCCCAUUCCCAGUCCCCCAACUCUAUUAUUCAAAGGCCGUGAUUUUGGCUGUCAGCUGAAAGAUCUGCAAAUAAAUCCCGUUGCAUUUCAUUUAAGGAAGGGGCUGAUUUUUGUGUUGAUGUUUUCAUUCGAAGCAAUAUCUCACUGAUGAUUCACAUGUGGUGACUGCUUAAGAGGAUUGAGAGGGAUGGGGCCAUGUGUUCCAGAUGGCAAAAGGUAGGCAGCAACUGUGCUCAGAAUCAGUGAGUUCAACUUUGCAAAAUGCGAUUCCCGAUACAGGGGCUGGCCUUUUCUCUAUGGAAAUUCUCUGUAAUUCACAUCCACAGGGACUUUCACCCAAGUCAGUUAUUUGCAAACUGCCCAUCCUGUGACUAACACCUGUGACUAACCACUAACAAAUGGUUGCAAACACCCCGAUGCCUGCUAAAUUGCAUCUCUGGUGACAGAAGCAUCCUGGAUCCAAAACUACAUAAGCCUGUGAGCUCCCUACUUGACCCAGUUCCCAUCUCUGUGCCUCCUCCACAGCUCCUUCUGCUCCGCUCCCGGGAAACUUAUCUUUACCUUCAGACUCUUGGUGCAGAUGGGGACCUUGCUAUGGCCCUGGCAAAUGCCAUGAGAAGAGUUGGGUUUUGCCCCAGAGAGAGGAUCUCCUUAACUGAAUCUUUUAUUCUCAGAGAAAUAAAGAUUGUGGUGAACAACA